GCUGGGUGUGGUGCUGCACGCCUGUAAUCCCAAUGGCUUGGGAGGCUGAGGCAGGAGGAUCUCAAGUUCAAAGCCAGCCUCAGCAAAAGUGAAGCACUAAGCAGCUCAGGAAGACUCUGUCUCUA
rnacentral:sRNA from 1 species